rnacentral:sRNA from 1 species
AAGUAGCCCAAACCCCGGCUCGAGAUCCGUCUGUUCAGCUGUUGUGGCGCCGCCGUUUUGGAUCUAAGCGCCUACCCGUGACACCCAGAGAACCCAGGCCUGAAAAGGUAUAGUUUGGCAGUGGGGCCUCCAAAAAAAGACCCAAAAGUUAAAGGUGUCCAAUCAGCAGCUGUACAAGCUUUUCUUAAAAGGAAAGAAGAGGAGCUGAGACGAAAAGCCUUAGAGGAGAAAAGGAGAAAAGAGGAACUAGUGAAAAAGCGAAUUGAGCUCAAACAUGACAAGAAAGCAAGAGCUAUGGCCAAGAGGACAAAGGAUAAUUUCCAUGGUUACAAUGGGAUUCCUACUGAGGAAAAGUCAAAGAAGAGGCAGGCAACAGAAAGCCAUACCAGCCAAGGAACCGACCGAGAGUAUGAAAUGGAAGAAGAGAAUGAAUUCCUGGAGUACAAUCACGCAGAGUCAGAGCAGGAGUAUGAGGAAGAGCAAGAACCUCCCAAAGUUGAAAGCAAACCAAAGGUCCCCCUUAAAAGUGCCCCACCACCCAUG